CAGUAGCUUUUGAGGAUGUGGUACUACGUGAGCGAGGCUGGAUAUGAGAAGCUAGAAAAAGACAGCAUGGAGAAGAAAGUAUGUAGGGUCAGCAUGGAGUUUACUACUUGCUCCUUCUUCACUGGCACUUUUCGAAGAAUGCCAUUUUAAUGUCAAGUUAUGAUGGAGAAGAGUCCAGCUCCCACUUUUUCGGACCUUCUGAAGCAGGAAAGUACUAACAGCCUACAUUAGAUAUCUUAUCAGUCUAGAGCCUAGACUAAAUGUGUCUUUGUUGACCUUCUCCUUCUCUUGGUACAGCAAAGAAAUUACCUUAGUUUCAAAAAAGCUGACGUAGGUAC
rnacentral:lncRNA from 12 species